GACGAACGCUGGCGGCGUGCUUAACACAUGCAAGUCGAACGGAAAGGCCCUGCUUUUGUGGGGUGCUCGAGUGGCGAACGGGUGAGUAACACGUGAGUAACCUGCCCUUGACUUUGGGAUAACUUCAGGAAACUGGGGCUAAUACCGGAUAGGAGCUCCUGCUGCAUGGUGGUGGUUGGAAAGUUUCGGCGGUUGGGGAUGGAUUCGCGGCUUAUCAGCUUGUUUGUGGGGUAGGGGCUUACCAAGGCUUUGACGGCUAGCCGGCCUGGGAGGGUGACCGGGCACAUUGGGACUGAGAGACGGCCCAGACUCCUACGGGAGGCAGCAGUGGGGAAUAUUGCACAAUGGGCGGAAGCCUGAUGCAGCAGCGCCGCGUGCGGGAUGACGGCCUUCGGGUUGUAAACCGCUUUCGCAUGUGACGAAGCGUGAGUGACGGUAAUGGGUAAAGAAGCACCGGCUAACUACGUG
rnacentral:rRNA from 1 species